rnacentral:rRNA from 1 species
UGGGGAAUAUUGCACAAUGGGGGAAACCCUGAUGCAGCGACGCCGCGUGAGCGAAGAAGGCUUUCGAGUCGUAAAGCUCUGUCCUAUGAGAAGAUAAUGACGGUACCCUGUGAGGAAGCCCCGGCUAACUACGUGCCAGCAGCCGCGGUAAUACGUAGGGGGCUAGCGUUAUCCGGAUUUACUGGGCGUAAAGGGUGCGUAGGUGGUCUUUCAAGUCGGUGGUUAAAGGCUACGGCUCAACCGUAGUUAGCCUCCGAAACUGGAAGACUUGAGUGCAGGAGAGGAAAGUGGAAUUCCCAGUGUAGCGGUGAAAUGCGUAGAUAUUGGGAGGAACACCAGUAGCGAAGGCGGCUUUCUGGACUGCAACUGACACUGAGGCACGAAAGCGUGGGUAGCAAACAGG